AGAAUUAGAGGGCGGAACGGGCAGCCGCCACCAUGUACAUUACGUACAGUAGGAGAUGUGGGAAUAGUCACCCCACCUGAUUCA
rnacentral:ncRNA from 12 species